ACAUGAAAAAAAAUAUGGUAAUGAAGUCAUAAUGAGGCCUGACGUCAUGACAGUUGCUCCGCCCUGAUUGAUCCAUAUAAGGAAAUGGUGCUCAAAAUAACUAUUUACCGAUAUUGGUAACAAUUUGUAUUAAACAACAAUAUCUUCAUGUUUAAAUAGAAAAUAAUUAGUGAUUUUCUCGUAUAUAAAAUAGCAUGUCUUUAAAAUAAUUCUCUUUUUAACGUGUCGUUUGUCUGCAUUCGGCUUCAGCCAAGCGCUUGCACUCGGUGACACGGAAUGUUGUUUACAUCUAAAAACGUGGCGACAUCAGCUGAGAUUUGCAGUGGAUUUAAAUGCAAUAACCACACAAUCUUUAAAGAAAAUAGGGAUAGAAUAAGAGACAAGGCAUUGCUUCUCCAUUUAACAAGAAUAUGAGGACAUUAUUUCGGAAAAUAGCAGAAAACCGAGACGAUUUGCACCAGCUCUAGCUCCGUAGAUCAAUCACUGCACUGUAAUUCCAGGCCAGCUGUCCAGAGUUUCAGGCUUAAAGAGUGAAUAAAUAAAAAAUGCAUCAUUUCUCCACAGGGCCUAGCUAUUCCCAGAUGUUGGACAAAUGGAUUCAUUCAGGCAGCAAGUUAAUCCAUCAUUUAAUGGUAUGCUCAAUAUAAGCAAUAAACCAUACAAAGUUUUGAUAAUAAAACUAACAGAAGAAUUGAAAACAUGUGUAGUGGACAGUAUAUAGGGAACUUAUACUGCAUCGCCAGUGAGCUUGCUUUUCUGGUGAUGCGGUAGAGUCUCCCUCUAUUUCAGGCAAAGUUAAGCAACGGCGAGCCUGUUUAACCUUUGGAUGGGUGACCGCUUCAUGUUACACAUAAUUCAUUUUAUCCACAAGAACAUGAAGAACAUGAGGUGAUGGAAAUAAUUUGCACCUGCCCAGCAUUCCUACAGUCUGUCAUUGGAUUUGAAAAGAAAUGUUUAUUAAAUAAAUUUUCUAGAUGAAUAAAAAUUUGACUUUUUCAUAUAUUUACUGUACAGGUGUUGAAAAGGCCAUUAAGAUAUGAAAAUCUUAACUUCUUACUAUUUUGUGUGGAGGGUACUAAUGAUCAUCAAGAUCAUAUUUCCAGCAUGUGCAUUGUGUUCAUUUAUCUUUCAAUAAUAUUGCCAAAAACAGGA